GGACCAUGAUUUUAAUGGCAAGGAAUAUCUCAAACCAGAUAAAUAAUUCAUCUCAAAAAUCUCUGUUUUUUUAGUGUGAAGCUCAUUCAUGAAGAGACCUCUCUUUGCUUGGACCCGCAGCAAAAGUGGGUGCAGAAGCUUGUACAGAUAGUUUUGAGGAGUCUUCCAGGCCGCCGGAGUCCACGACACCAGCAGAGCCACUGGCUGGAAAUACUGGGAAAUUAACCCCCUUGGAAGCAUGUUUUAACUAACGAUUCACUGGGGCAGUGUAUAAACAUCCCAGCUCCCUGGCCCUCAGUAUCCUUGAAAGUCUUAAGAUGGAGCCUCAGAAAUUUCCUUCCGGUCAGUGAAAAAUUCUUUCCAGGAGGGAGAGGUGGUCAGAAGUGUGGACAGCCCAAGAUUGCUUGGAAGAGGCCACCUGGAGUUUAGCAGCUACUGCCUUGAGCAGAUGUCAAUGGAAGGGAUGAUGCUGGACACUUCUUCUCUCCCAUGUCAUCUCUUUUUGCCAGCAAUAUCCACAAACUGAAUUAUACAGGAGCACAAGAUUUUAAUGAAGUCUUGGGAGCAACUGAAGGGAACGUAUGAGGUGAGCCUUGAAUGGCUUCUUAUGCCAGAAAGUAAGGAUGUGCUCAGAAACUGAGAGGGAUAUGUCCAGAGGACAAAGGAGUCAGCUUGAAGGAGUAAUCCUCACGGAGAAGGGAGAUGUGAGCAAAGAUCUCAAGGAAGUGAGGGGUUUAGUUUAAAAGAUAGCUGGUGGAAGAGAAUUCCAGGCAGAAUAAACAGUCCUAAAGUGGAAGCCUGGCUGCUGUAUGUUUAAGGAAGAGUAAGGAGCCCAGUGUGGCUGGAGUGAGUGAGCAAGGGCAAAAACACUGUCAAAAAUGCUGUCAGAGAAGGAAUAGGGAGCCACAGCAUGUGAAACCUUGUGACUCAUUUCUAAGGACUUAGACACUAACUCUGAGUGAGAGGGGAGCCAAUGGUGGAUGUAAACAGAGGAGAGUCCUGGUCUGACAUAUUUUGAAAGGAUCUCAUUGGAAAAUGUGUCAAGAGUAGACAUGUGAGCUUAAGAAUACCAGUUAAGAGGCUAUUGUAGUCAUUUGGGCGGCUGAAGAUGGUGCCCAGACCAGGAGGGUGGCAGUGCAAGAGCUUAAAUUUUGAAAGUAGAGCCAACAAGGUUUCCUGCUGUAUUGGAUGUAGACAGAAGAGCUGAAGAUGACUUUUUUUUUUGGUGAGGAAGAUUAUCCCUGAGCUAACAUCUUUGGCAAUCUUCCUCUGUUUUGUAUGUGGGAUGACACCACAGCAUGGCAUGAUGAGCAGUGUGUAGGUCCGCACCCGGGAUCUAAAGCUGUGAACCCUGGGCCACUGAAGCAGAGCAUGUGAACUUAACCACUGCACCACCAGGCCAGCCUGAAGAUGACUUAAGUUGGCUUGUAAUAGUAUUCCAGGUGACAGAAAUAUGGAUACAGACAACAGGGUUGGAGUGGUUGGCUUUGCUUCAAAAGAUAUUGACAGGAGGAGGAGGGCCCUGCUGUGGUGAGAAUCCUCAACAUUGAGUGCCAUAAAGAAUGUUAGCAGGAAGUGACAAUUCCUACUGGGAGUACAAGCUGGAAACCGAUCCUCACUUCACAGUGUCACAUCCUUUCCAUGGGUCACCAUUAAGUGUUAGUUAGGGUUAUUACUAUUUGAUCUUGUAGGGGAGGAAAAAUAAUUUUUCCUUUACCUUUCUAGCUUCUUGAUUGAGAUGCCCCCUGUAAUAAAAGCCAGAUUAACAGGAGAAAAACAAACAGAAGUUUAAUAGCAUGUAUACUUUCUGUAUACAUGGGAGUACCCAGAAACACUGAGUAACUCCAAAAAAAUGGCCCAAGUCACCACUUUAAAUACCAUCUCCCACUAAAGGCAAAAGGAGAUGUUGUGGGGAGAGAAGCCAGUUAUGGGGUUUACCAAGCAGAGCGCAGUGACUGAGGGCAUGGCUGCAGUGCAGAUUUAAGUCUCUGCCUUCUCCGUUGAUAAGACUUUGUGGAGAUUUAGUCAUCCCCCUCUUCCUAGUAUGGCAAGGGAGACAUCCUUACAAAUGGAGAUUUCCCUUAGAAAUGUAAAUUUAUCUUACAAAAGAGUAACUUCUAUUUGGUUUUCAGAGCUUCUCCUAUAUCUGCUGUUUCUUAAAAAUAAUCAGCAUAAAUUAAUCCUUAUGCCAAAGAAGCACGUUUGGGAGAGAGAUGUUUUGCUCCCUUCCAAUCUGUUCAUGCCCAACACUACAUGGGCUGUACUACUGCAAAUUCCAUGUAUGUUUAUUCCCCAGAAAUUGUAUCACUUUACUGACAGCAGAUAAAAGCAUUAUUACGUUAACUCACAAAAGUGGGUUCUCCUACCCAAUGUGCAUAAGAAGUCAAUUAUUACAGCAUCAGAUUUUGAGAAAAGGCUUUAUUAGGAGAUCCAACUGCAAGGAGCCAGGAGGCACAUGCUUUCAGAUCUGUGUCCCCAAUUCAGGAUUUGGGGCAAAAUUUAAGAGGUUAGGGAGAACAGGCUGGUACACGAAAACGCUGGUGAGAGAGCUUUAAACAUUUAUGGUAAGGUUUUAAGCAUUUAUGGUAAGUUGUGGAAGGGGCUUUAAUACCAGAUAUUCCUAGACAACAGACCCCUCCCCUCUGAUGAGAGGCUGAUUUUCAAGUUCAGGUCACCUUCCAGUCCUUUGGUUCUGUUGUGAGAGGAGUCUUUGGAUCUGAGGUCAUUCCAGGUCAAGAUUUUCUCUUCUGCAUGCUCUGGCUACUUGCAAAUUUUGGGCUUGCCUUCCCCCCAUCUCCCAACCCUUAAACCUUCUGUUGAUAAGAUGAGGUCAGUUUGAACUGGUCCUAGAGAGCCCUUGGUUACGAUUAUCCUUUGACAGUAUUUCUUAUCUUAUAAAAAUAUAUUUGAGGCUGACUAUUGAGAAACAGUGACUAUUCCUUCAAUAUCACAUUUCUCCUCAUUAGCAAGAGCUUGGAUUAAAGCUACAAUGUGAAGAAGUUCUUGUAUUUUAUUACAAAGAACAAAGUGACUGAGAUUGAGGGAAAGUAAUGGGAAGGGAGAGAAUUAUAGAGAGAACUGAAGGGUAUGUGACCCUCAGCUCUCAACUUAAGAUGUUUUAUUCCUCUUUCAGGCAGCUGGCAUAAUGAGGGAAAGAGGUUGUAAACAAGGGCGGGAGAAUGGGACUGAAACUGACUUGUAUCUCAAAGACACAUCGAGCUAUUUGAGUGGAUAUUUUAGUUAUUAUCCUUUGUUUUAUCAGAACAUUAGAAGAUUUCUCACUUUGAAUAAGCCAAAGCUUAUCGUCCUAAUUCUCUCUGAACAUUUUUGAUUUUGAAAAUUUCUACUGCCAAUAGCCAGAUCCAAAGUGUUGCAUAUUGGAGCAGCGAUAUGGGUCACCAUUGUUGCCCAGGAGGGAGAACUUCCAUAUGAUUAUGUACAUCUCAUCAUCAAAUUCAACAUAGGGGAUUCCCUGAAAAUGCAAUCAGGGACAAUCCACGGGAACUUCAACUGUACUAGUAAUAUUUUAGUUCCUAAAAGGAAUGGUGGACAUAUAGGUAUUUAUUAGAUUAUUUUUACACAGCUUUGAAUUUCUAAAAUAUUUUACAAUAACAAUUUUUAAACUACUCAAUUAAAGAAGAAGAAAAGCUUAUAUACUUCUUCAUAAUUAUUUACCUGUCAAUACAGAGGAUGUCUUAUUAGCUCUACACCCACUUGUAGAUGAUAAUUAGCACAACACUAUGAUAGUUCUUGCAAAGACUUCAUGCAAGCUCUAGUAUUCAUUUACUUAAUAGGAAAAAGAUAUUAUAUGAUCAAGAAGACGCGUUAUUAUGGAAGGAUUUUAUUUUUAAUAUACUACUUUUUUCUCCUUUCAAAUAUUGUUCCCCUGCUCUUAGUCUGGAUGUGGUAUGAUAAGCCCAUAUGGCAUUUUGAGAAUUUAGAGCUUAUACAAAAGAUUUGAAAGAAGUGAGAUUUCAAUAGGGGGCUUCUUCUCGAGUCAUGGUUCCCAACUGGGGUGAUUUUUCCCUCCCAGGGGACACUUGGCAAAUUCUAGAGACCUUUUUGGUUGUCAUGAUUUGGGAAAGAGAGGGUUGAUGGCAUCUGUUGGGCAGAGGCCAAGGAUGCUGUUAAAUAUCCUACAAUGCGUAAGACAGUUUCUCACGAUAACGAAUUAUCUGGUCCAAAACGUGAAUGGUGCUGAGGUUGAGAAAAUCUAUCUCUUUUCUAGAGACAAGAAAAGUUUUCCCUGGUAUGAAGGUGAUGUGGAUUGAAGGGGGCACGGGCAUCAUGGCAGUGUAGAUACUGGUGGGUUCCAGAGAAAGGGACUCUGUGCUUUCUCUCUCCUAGAAGGGUGUUAGAGAAGAGGUAAAAUCCAAAAUGGAUUUACGGGAUCUGAUAAAAAGCAGUUUACUAGAGGAGUCUGGACAGCGGAGGCCUCACAUGGCCUCACAGAGUGUGGAAAUAUGCCUUGGCAAUGGCAUAGAAGAAAUGUAAUGAUUCAGCUCCUCUUAAUCCUGCCCCAGAAGUUGUGGAGAAAGCCAUAUACCUAGAGAAUUCAAGCAGAUUAGAAAUGUGUACCUUAACUGUGAUUGCCAGGUAGACAAAUGACAGUGAUGUCUGGAGGGGUACCCCUACAAUCUCAGUUCUGAAUCUACCUCCUAACUCAGAAAUAAUCCUUAGAAAAGGAAACAACCAACUAUCAAAUGAGAUUGUGUGUCCGCCACCCAGGUAGAAUAGGAUUAGGAAGAAGAAUUGAGCUGAACUACAGAAAAAUAAAAGAGAGAGAGAUGUCUUGCGUACCUGUUAUUAUGGACCGAAAUUUUUAUCCAUUUCACCAUAAAUUGUAUUACUGAAUUGAUAUUUUAAUUGAAAAUUAAACCAAUACUAAUAAAGGAUGUGCAUUCCUUCAAACAUUGCCCGCACUCCUUCAGCUGCUCCACAGACCCCAGAUCUUACCAUUCUCUGCCUAUGUGUAGAGGUGUGCACCUCUCAGCUCAUAAGGAGUGGGAGUGAGGUUCUGCAGCUACUAGCAGUUCUGUUUUCAUGUGGAGUACUUCUUUGGAAAAUUCUAUUUUCCUUGAGUCUUAUAUUGCCUGAUUGCAUCUAACCAUAGUGCAAGAGGGUUCUGUGUUUACAAAAUCCACGCUGAACUCACACAAGUCUAGACAGGAGAUCUGAUUAUCUCCAGGCUAAGGUUAAGACCAUGUUUUUAAAAUCCCAGGAAGCCAUAGGUCAUCCUUGACUUCAGGAAGCCCAAGUUUACCCUUCAAGUUCUUGAUGAAUAUUGUUCCAAAAGAAGUCUUUGCAGAAUAUAUGACUUCUCUUUAAGCUUCUGUCUGGCUAAGACUCUAUACCAUCUUUUUCUUCGCAGAGUAGAUGUAGGCAUCUCCCCUUUUACAGUAGUCAAUAACCUAUCUCUGUCUUACCUCUCAGUAUUUUAUUUUUUCCUUCUUUUUAUUUAGUAGUAUUUGGACAUUGAUCUUUAGACUGCCAAGAAACUGGUGUUUAUAUUUAAGAUGAUACUGUCUUUAUAUACUUAGAUCCUUACCAACCAACUUGACUUGUCUCCAGCCAUCUCCUAAAAAUCAUAAUCCUUUGCUGAAAGGUGUGGGACUAUCUAAAUUCCAUUCCAGUUCUGCAAAAAGAAUGAGAGAGAAACAUUAACAAUUCUUGCAAAUAGCAAUCAAAAUUGUUCUCUAAAAAAGGUUAUGUGCUUAUUUCAAAAGAGAUGUUUAUUGGCAACCAUUAGCAUAGGUAGUUGCAUUUUUAAAUGAGGGUCAAUUUGUAUUACUGAAGAGUAAAAGUCUAAAGGAAGUUAGAGCUUUUCUAACUACCCCAUAUCCCUGUUGGAAUAUAAAAACACACUCCUAAACAAUCAUAGCAUUUCCAUAAGCCGAUAAAAUGACGACUCAGAAGGUUAGACACCCCAGGCCGCAAACCAUUUAAUAUAGGAAUGUUUUAAGUUUAUGUCAAAGUCCUAUUUUUUAAAUACUUAUGUAAUCAGAAAAUAAAUAUAUUGUACAUAAGUCAUUUAAUCCCUGACUCUUACCUGAAAUGUCUCAAGGCAAUUCACCGAUUUCAAGAAAUGUUCCGAAGGAAAUUUUGAGGGUUCAAACAGACUUAUUAUAAUGACUUUAAAGAUUUUUGGCAUUUGUUUUCUUUGACGUUCUACUGCAGAAAAGAAUUUUACAUAAGGACUUUUUGCAAUAAUGCAGUCUAUUACAUUGCUUGCGGUUCACUGAUAUGCAAAUUCCAGUGUGUCUGACUUCAGCCAUGUUUGUGGCCACUUUACCAGACUCUUCAUACUGUGGCCUGGUCACUGGUUACUUCUAUUGUCUAAUAGCUGGUUCAAAUUUCUACACGUUUGAUUCAAUUAAUUAUAGGGACUAGGCCUUGAGCAAAACCAGAUGAAAGGAAUGGAUUAUGUUGUGGUUGAUUCUGUGGGCUCAUGAAAACAACAGAAAUUGAUGAAAAUGCUGAAUUGACAGCAGCGAUUCAAAAGUAGCAAUAUCAUCCAUAACACUCAAGAAAAAAAUCUCUGUUGUUACUCAAUACAAACUGAUGAAUGGAUCUUAAUAAUUACUAUAAAACUCUCAUCUCCAAGUGUGAAAAUAUGUAUUGUGAAUGAAGAAGAUACAAUUGGCCCCUUCUUUUAUAGCCACUGAAAUCUUAAAUGAAAUGAAUUUCUGCAUUGAGUGCAGUACUCAUUUCUAUCCGCCGAAGCAGAUAGAUUCUCUUUAGAAUAUAUUUAUUGUAUAUUUUCUAUAAGGCAGACAAACCAGGGAAUACAAAGAUCUGGUUUUUCUCAUUGACGAGUUCACAGUCUAGAGAGAGAGAGAAUUGUAUAGUACACGUGUUAAUAGAGUUACAAGGAGUUCCAAAGUUACUCCAAACCACAUUUCAUACUUAGUAGCAUUGCUAUCUAUCAGAGAAAAUUAAUAUUGUAUAAAUUAAUAUAGGGUAAAUUAAUGAUCUUAUCAAACUCUUAAGGCUGUCAUGAGGAUUAACUGCAUUGUUACAGGUGAAGUGCUCCAAAUAUUGCUUGGCAUAUUAAAUGUUGGCAAUUAUUAGCACUUGUUAUCAUUAUGGAAACUCUACAGUUCCCUUUGUCCUCUAGGUCCUGUACAGUAGCAGCCACCCCUUAAUGGAUGCCUACUACAUACAACUUAUUUUACUCUAAGCAAUAUUUUGUUAAUCUUUUCAGUAACUUCCUGAACUAACUACCAUUGAUUCUGAUUUAUAAAUGAGAAAUUUAACAUUCAGAAAUUCAGUAAUUUGCCCAACGUCAGCUCUAGUAAAUCCAGAGCUAAUACUCAGUCUCUGCUUGUCUACUCAACCGCACAGCCUCGUGGAGAGAGAUCAUUGUGGAGAACUGGGAUUGAACUGCUGAGCUCUCCAGCAGUUCUAUUCUCUGAGGGAUUAGUUCCUUCAAUCCACCCAUUGGUUCCUUUUGGAUCAAAGACAGACACUGAGACAAAGACCUACUAUAACUUGUAGGGCACUAGAAAAACACACAGAAUCAAUUCAAGGCAUUUUUCUGACAUUUCCUCCCUUUCUACAGCUGGCCUGUAGAGAAGAUGGAGUUUGUGGCCCUCAGUGAGUGAAAAAAAUGUAUUUGAGCAUUAUACUUCCCACAUUCAAUGGUGUCUAGAAAAAUCUAUAUUUCUAGGUGUAUCAUAUCACAUUUAUAAAACAUUAUUAAUAAUCUCAAUUCAUUCCAAAGCGUUGAGUAGUCAGGAGAAAAUUGGACAAAUGUGAUCCGUGAGGAACAGGGAUGAAUGAAGCUUUGCUUGCGCGGGACUCUGACUGGCCUACGCUUCGUCAGUUGCCUCCCUAGAUCUUUCUCUUUACCUUAAGGACACUAAGUGUAAUUAAAUUGGAUUUUUAAAAAUACUCAUUUGCCGGGGCUGGCCCCGUGGCCGAGUGGUCAAGUUCGCGCGCUAUGCUGCAGGCGGCCCAGUGUU